AUUGAACGCUGGCGGCAUGCCUUACACAUGCAAGUCGAACGGCAGCACGGGUGCUUGCACCUGGUGGCGAGUGGCGAACGGGUGAGUAAUACAUCGGAACAUGUCCUGUAGUGGGGGAUAGCCCGGCGAAAGCCGGAUUAAUACCGCAUACGAUCUACGGAUGAAAGCGGGGGACCUUCGGGCCUCGCGCUAUCGGGUUGGCCGAUGGCUGAUUAGCUAGUUGGUGGGGUAAAGGCCUACCAAGGCGACGAUCCGUAGCUGGCCUGAGAGGACGACCAGCCACACUGGGACUGAGACACGGCCCAGACUCCUACGGGAGGCAGCAGUGGGGAAUUUUGGACAAUGGGCGAAAGCCUGAUCCAGCAAUGCCGCGUGUGUGAAGAAGGCCUUCGGGUUGUAAAGCACUUUUGUCCGGAAAGAAAUCCUUGGCCCUAAUACGGUCGGGGGAUGACGGUACCGGAAGAAUAAGCACCGGCUAACUACGUG
rnacentral:rRNA from 1 species